AGAUAAUUGACCUAAAUAAUGCCCUUCAAGAUAAAGAAAGGAGCUUCAAGGAAGGGAUGCCAGACUAAAUGAUCUACUUGCAAAUGAACUGGCAUUGAAGAUGGAAAUCAAAAAUUUAGAAAGUACAAUAAUGGAAUUAGAGGCCACAAAUCAGAUGCUUAAGGAUGAGCAUCAGGCCUUACAGCUGACGUACACAGGUCUAGAGGAGAAAUUCCGUAAACUGGAGCUGGACAAUCAACAACUGCUGGAAAGGUGGAUCAGACAACAGGCCAAAAUGGCU